AUUAUAGCUCAGUUGGUAGAGCAAUUGAUUCGUAAUCAAUAGGUCGCCAGUUCGAUUCUGGCUAA
rnacentral:tRNA from 1 species